rnacentral:piRNA from 1 species
UCUCCAUGAGUACAGAGAAGACUCCAACGA